UUCCUGAUGUGUUUUCCAGCACCGGGGUUGGGGCAGAGGGAGAGAAGAUAUUUGUUUGCUUGAUUCCACAUGACAACUCCAGGGUAACUGAAUAGACUGUACGGUCGGCUUGACAGGGCUGAGCACCCGCCAGCAGCCUCGCUCACAUACCAGAGCCAGGGGGAUGGAAGGGGCACUGGCAGCUGGGAUGGAGCCCAUCCCAAUUUCUCCACAGAGCGCCAAUUUGCCAUCAAUUAUUCAUGUUUUUCUGAGGUCUCGCUUCUGAGAGUGCCUUUCAUCCACUCUGUGUAAUCCAUGAGUUAAGCAUGGCAACAUGGCUUCGAGACUGGGGCCAAGGAAGCCUUGAAAUACAGCCCAGAUUUCUCCUUCAUAUGAAGCUGAUUGCUCCUGGCCGGGCCUGUUCCCGUGUUGUGCCCAGCUGAGUGCCCAUGGUGCCUGCAGAGGGCGGCACAGCAGGGCCAUGCAUCACCUCUUCGGGCUGGUUUUGGCACAGAAGGACCUGUCCCGGGCAGGGGAUCUCUUCUCCCUGGAGGAUGCUGAGAUCGAGGGAAGCCUCUCUGAAGCUCUUGAACAGAUCAGGAUUAUUAGUUCAGCUGCAGACUACCAGACCAACGACAACGACCAGGCCGUGGUGGAGAUCUGCAUCACGCGCAUCACCACGGCCAUCAGGGAGACUGCCUCCAUCGAGAGGCACGGCAGGGCCCUGGUGGCCCUCUGGGAGUCCUGUCUGGAGCACAACCUGACCCCCUCUGGCAAGGACGAGGAUGCCCCGCAUGCCAAAAUCGCCUCUGACAUCAUGAGCUGUAUCCUGCAGAAUUACAACCGGCCUCCAGUGAUGGCCUUGGCUGUGCCAGUGGCAGUGAAAUUCCUGCAGAGGGGCAACAAGGAGCUGUGCAGGAACAUGUCCAGCUACCUGUCCUUGGCUGCCAUUGCCAAGGCUGAGCUGCUGGCUGAGCACACAGAAACCAUCGUCAGGAGUGUCCUGCAAGGUAGGCCCAGCCCAGAGCUGGGGUUGAAUCCAGGGAACUCCAUGCUGCUGCGGGUGCUGCCCGCGCUCUACGAGAAGCAGCCGCGGCCCAUCCACGCCCGCCUGCGGGAGCUGGUGGCACCCAUGGCCCAGCUGGACCCCCCCGAGCAGCUCCACCUCCUCAGGCUCCUGCACACCGUGGCCAGGAAGAGAGAACUGGGGGUGCUGAGAGAGUGUUUGCCAUUUUUAUUUGGACACCUGAGGGACCCCAACCACAGCGAGGUGAUUCUAAACAUCCUUCUGGAAAUAUCCAGCUACGAACCUGCAGCCUUGGCCCCGUUCCUUCCCACACUGAGGGAAAUUGGAGAGAGUUUUCCCAGUUUGAUUGGGCAGACAGCAAAGAUCUUCGGAGCUGUUGGACAUCUUGAUGAGGAGCGAGCCAGAACCUCCCUGCUGUAUCUGGUGAACCAGCUGGCCAACAUGGAGCACUCCUUUCACCACCUCCUGCUGCUGGAGAUCAAGAGCCUCACGGACACCUUCUCGAGCAUCCUGGGCGCCCAGAGCAGGGACAUUUAUCGCAUGAGCAACAGCUUCUCUGCCAUUGCCAAGCUGCUGGCGCGGCAGCUCGGCACCGACGGCGCGGCGCCCGCCAGGAUGGAACAGGACCCUGAGGCAGAAUGUCCUGCACCACUGGAUGAUUUAAAAUCUGUCGUGAAUGGCAGUGAAGAAGAUGAAAAGCUGCAAGUUAAAAUCCAGGCUUUUGAAGAGAAAAUAAAUGUGGACAACAGCACCCCCGGCUCAGUCAGGAGAUACAGCCUGGGCCAGGUUUCGAAAGAAGAAAGGAAGGAUAUGAGGUUUAACAGGUCCAAGAGCCUGGCCCUGCACGUGCUCCGGGUGAAGGGGCUGAGCUCGGAGGGAGGCCCGGACGAGGACAGCGGGGACAUCCCUGCUGGCAUCUCCUUCUCCGAGCUCUGCCUCAGCCAGGAGCACCAGCAGGUGCCUUUUGGGGUGCAGCCCGAAGCAGGGCUCCUGGGGACCUGCCUGGUUUCACAGCAGAGUGCUGAUGCUCCCCAGGCAGCCAGUCUGCCAGAGGCGACCCUGGAGACGGCCGUGGAGGGAAGGGCAGAGGCAGCCACGGGCCCUGUGGAACACCAGGACAAGCUGUACCUGCACCUGAAGGAGAACCUGGGCAAAGUCAAGGAAUACGUGAUGGAGAUGGGGAGGAGGAUUCCCAUCCCUGAGCAGUGUGUGAUUGAAGAUACUGUCCAAAGCUGUGUGGCAAAGCUGUUCUUCAGCUGUCCCCUGAAGGGCCACUACUGCCUGUACAGCAAGUCCAGCUUCACCCUGGUGAGCCAGCAGCCUCCCCUCUGGAUCCACAUCAUGUUCCUGUUCCAGCAGAGCCUGUUGGCAGAACCUUUGUCCCUACAAAGCAGCUCUGUGCAAGUCCUGAAGGCCCUGUGGGAGAAGACUCAGCUCAAGGGCACGCACAGCUUUGAGACUGCCAUGAUCCAGUGCACCUUCCCCCACCAGAAGGAGCUGGAGAACGUUCAGAUGCACCUGGAGGAAGUGAGGUUCUUUGAUUUGUUUGGCUACAGCGAGGAGGCAGGAGCCUGGCAGUGCUUCAUGUGCAACAACCCCGAGAAGGCAACAGGCAUCAACCAGGACGGGCAGCCCCUGAUGGAGGGCAGGCUGAAGGAGAAGCAGGUGCGCUGGAAGUUCAUCAAGAGGUGGAAAACGCGCUACUUCACCCUGGCUGGCAACCAGCUGCUGUUCCGCAAGGGCAAAUCCAAGGACGACCCCGACGAGUGCCCCAUCGAGCUGAGCAAGGUGCAGAGCGUCAAGGCGCUGCCCAAGAAGCGGCGGGACCGGAGCCUGCCGCGGGCCUUCGAGAUCUUCACGGACAGCAGGAGCUACGUGCUCAAGGCCAAGGACGAGAAGAACGCCGAGCAGUGGCUGCAGUGCCUCAACGUGGCCGUGGCCCAGGCCCGCCAGCGCCACAGCCGCGAGGCCACCACCUACCUGUAGGCCACCAACGCCCGCGGGACGGCCACCAGGCCACCAGGCCACCAGGCCACCCCCAGCUGUGGGCACAGCGGCAGGGAGAGCUGCCUGCACAGCCACCGCGCCUGAGGGACACCCGCCUCCAUGGGGACACUGCCCCCGGAGCAGCUGCCAGCCUCCAUGGGGAAUCCAGGGCUUCUGCAGCCAGGGAAUGGGGUGAGACACCCAGCCUCAGGUUGUGACACUGCCAAGAGAAUGCCAGCAGUGAGGACUUGCUGCUUUCCUCAAUCAGCUCGGUGUGCAAAGUUAAUUUGCCUUAUUUAAUCCUGGUGGACUUUAUCCUUUUGUUGUUUGUAUGUGUCCUGCUGCUGCUUUCAGGUUUAAAUUGGGAAAUUUGAAAGAUUUUGUAUGGCUGGAGGAUAAUUUUAAAUAUUUAACUGGUUUGAUUUUCCCUUUUUCCUGCUUUUGCUCUGCUUUAUAAUUGAAUGUAAUUUUUAAACUUUCCCUUUUUUUUCCCCUAAUUCUCUUCUCCAUUCUGUAACUUUUCAAAAUUUCUGCAAAUCUGGAAAAUUCCCAGUUUGUUUGAUUUUCUUUGUUACUUUCAAAUUAUUCCAAAGUGGAGGAAGUGCUGUAGCCUAAAAGCAAAAGGGGAGGGGGGGAAGAAUGAGAAAUCUGCAAGUGAAGAAAUGAGCCCAGAGAUCAUUCAAGGCUGAGUAGAAAUAAAACUUGAAAUUUUCCGACCUAGCAAAAUAUAUCUUUUGCAAAAAAAUGUUGCCAGAAAUGUGGAAAAAUGAAGCAAAAACUGCUUUUUCCUGCACCUUCCACUCAGUGGAUGCAGGGCUGGAGCAGGGAUGUUGCUGGCCUUGCCCAGUCUGGCUGUGCAGAGUGUGAGGAGGAGGAGGAUGGCCUGAGGCUGGAAAGGGAGUGGAGGGAGUGGGACCUGAGGGAUCUGCCAGGGUGGUUUGGUUCCUGCUCCCUUGCUGUGGCUGCUGCACAGGUUUCUGGCUCAAAGCUGGGAAUGUUGUCCCACGAAAUGCAAAUGUUUGUCCUUGGAGCCUGGUCCCUCACAAGCACUGAGUGUUCCCGGGUUUGUCUCCCUGGCUGCCAGAGCUCUGCUCUUUGUUAUCCUAACAGGUGAGAUGCCAGUGCUUGGGAAUGAGCACUUACCCAAAUUAGAAUGAGGGAAAAUUAAUUUCUGGCAGCAUUUACCCAAAUUAGAUGAGGAAAAAUUAACUCCUGGCAGCAUUUACCCAAAUGAAUUUCUGUGAGGCCCAGGCAGCAAUUUCUGCCUGAGCUCUGCUGCCUGGGCCUCACAGGACUGGCAGCUGCACAGAGAGGUUCUCAGCCUGAUCCACCCAAACACCCUCAAACCUCUGGGGAGAAACCCUGGGCCUUGGAGCAAGGAACUGCCACAGCCAGGGAAAGGGAAAUCAGGCUGAACUGAGAAGGCUGUUUGCUUUCUCUUGUUUGCUUUCUCCUCUUGGGCUGCCUGCACUCCUGGGCCUCUCUGCGUUCCCCUGCUUGCCUUCUUUCCCCAUAACUUUGAAUCACUUCCCAUUACGGUGGCCCCAGGGGACAGUGGUGCUCCAGGGGACUUGCAGGAAGAUGGUGAGGCCACAGGUGGGCUCAGCACAGGGAGUGCAGGGUGGGGAGUAACACCAAAAAUACUCAAAACUGGCUCCAGACUUCCCAAAGCUCUUGGGAAAGACGUGAAAUGUUCAGAUUCCUGAAAAUCCUUGUAUCAACUAAAACAUGGGUGUCAGGUCGUGGAAUGUGGCAAAGUGAUCACAAGAACCUUGUUAAAGCCAAAUUCAGUCACAGAAGAUAGGGAAGAGCAGCAGGGCAAGGGUGAGGAUGGACACACGAUGGGAGAUUUCCACAGGAGAUCUGGAAGAUGAGGAAAGGAGAUAUUGGAGAUAUACCUGAACCAACAAAUCCUCACCUUGCCCUCAGGACAAACCACUGAGUCUGUGGGGAAUGAAGUCAAUUCAUAGUGAGAUCUUGGAAUUAAUUGCCUUGAGUUCCAGAAUCACAUCCUGCAAUUCACCCUGAGUUCACUGAUAACGGGGAGUUGGCCAUCAAAAGCAGCUUUUACACCCCAAAUAUUCUGGGUUUCCUACCCUCGGAGCCAAGCCUCAGCCUGCCACCUCUGAACGAUGUCACUGAUGUCACGGUGUCACCAGCGUGCUGCACCUCGUGUGUGGCACCAGCACAGCUGUGUCCCUGCUGUCCCCAGGCUUGUCAGCAGGCACUCACAGCCCUCCCUUCAACCCCAGGCUGAUGGAGCAAUGUGGAAUGCUCUGCUCUGCAGCCAGAGGCACCCCAGCUGCCAUGCCAGGAAACAGCUCCCUAAAACAGGGAGCCCAGCCACACUUCUCCUGACUUCAAUUAAAACUUGGAGGAAAAUAAAACAGAAAUUCAGCUGGCAGCUUCUUCCAGUCACCCUCCUAAAAGGAGAAACACAGAGAUCAUCAAUGCAGUGUAGAAUGAGAGCAGGGAACAUCUCAAGCAAAUGUAUAAAUAGCUUUUGUUGGUUCUUUUUCAAAGAACAUGUAUCGGAACAGUUUGGAUUUGAAUAUUCAAAACAUGUUGCAUUUAAAUAUCCAAACCACUUUAGAUUUAAGUAUCCACAACAUUUGGAUUUAAAUAUCUGAACCACUUUAGAUGUAAGUAUCCAAACCAUUUUGGAUUUAAAUAUCCACCAGGAACUCGUUGGUAGCUCUGAUUGUGCAGUAUUUUCUCUGUUGUUUUGCUCAUCCUUGCAGGAACCAUCCUGGUCCUUGGCAAUGACAGCACUGAGAGCUCAUUGAGGGUCCUUGGGCACAUCCUGGAAAAAGGGCUGGAUGCAAACAACCCCCUCAGAGCCCCCAGCUCCAGGAGUCUGCCAUGGAAGAGAGCUCCCAGUGCAAACCAGCACUCCCAGUCCCUUCCACACACUGGGGGCACAGACCCAGCUUUAGGAUUCAACCUAAACCAACCCAAAAUCUGGCCCUGCUCAUUCCUGAAUGUGAGCAAUUUCCAAACCCUCCAAGUUUCACAGAUCAGCACUGCUUCUCUAGGAAACAAAUCCUGCCAAAUAUUGGCUCCCACUCCCACGAGCAGGUUUCUGCAAGGACAAUAAUCCGUGUUUUCCUGAGGAGCUGAUGUCCCCGUGCCUCCUGUGCCCCAUCCCGUGCAUCCUUCAGGGAUCCGAGUCUGGGUGAGAGCGUGGCCUCAGGAGCACCCAAAACUGGGCUCAGCUGGGAACGAUCCCAGGGCUCUGGCAGGGAAGGGCUGGCCCACACCUCGGGCUUUGUCACCUCCCCUGGUGCAGGGGCACGGAGCAGGGGAGCAGCUGAGCAGCUGUCCCCUGGCAGGGCGGGAGCAGCGCUGCCUUCCAGCUCUGCAAUCCACACAGUCCCAGGGAUCUGCUGGGCUGGACCCUGCUGCCAGGGGGACUCAGGCUGGAUGGGAUUUCCUGGAAAUGGGAGCCAUAGGCUCCCUGCCUGCCCAGGGCUGCUUUGGGAGAGCUGAGCCCAGCUCCGGGAAGCUUCCCAAGGAAAUUUUACCCCACAUUCCCCGCUCCAUCCCAAACAAAGCGUUCCCCAGCGUGUCUGAUGGGCUGGAACAGAGCAGGCAGGGAAUGCUGAGGUGUUGCACGCAGGCAGCACGGGGAUAAAUGGAAUAAGCUGGACAUUAUUUUUCCAGCCGUUCCAAUUCCGAGCUCAGCCACCCAUGGGACUAACCUUGCCUGCUUCUUGUUGACAAGUCCUCUAAUUCAUCCCGAUGCUGAUGACUAAUACUCCUUGGGUAAAAUCCUUGACCUUGCUGAGGUCAAAUGCAAAACUCCUAUUAACUCUAAUAGGGCCAGGGUUUUCCUUGGAUCACUGCGUGUCCUGGUGGUACCUUUGCAGCUUCCUGCACUCCCCAGGCUCGGCCAGCUGCAGGAACACAACCCCUCCCUCCCCACUGACAGACCUCCCCGCUUGGCACCAGCAGCGUUUUGGUGAGAAGAGCUGCUUCCCAAACUUUUAGCAGCAUCAGGAGGCAGCUGUGCCUCCAGCAGCCUGCACCGAGGCCAUCCCGAGGGACCUGGGGGAUGGAACCACCCAGCAAGGUCACUUCUGCUGUUUGGGGGCAGCGACACAAUUCCUGCAGCUUCUGUGCUCCAGUGGCAGGAGCAAACAAGAAAUGGGGGUGGACUGGGGAUUUUUUCCAGAGAAACAAUAGAGACAUGCCUGCAGCAGUUAGGAGGGGUUUAUAUUGCACCUGUGAAGGAGCAGGACGUUGAUUAAUUAGAUGUCAAAUUACAGCUACAUUGAGUUGGCUCAAUUAUUCCAUAAAUCUCCCCAUUGUCUAAUUAGGCAAAGAAAGACACAAAAUCAGACUUGAUUCAUUUGACUGCUUCACUGAAAUGACCUGGAACUCUCAAAACAGUUUGUGCUGGGGUUGGUUUUGCCAGGACAUGCAUGUCCCUGGCUGGCCCCACCUGGGACCCCAGUGCCCAGCCCAGGGUCUCUGUCCCACCCCAGUGAUCCCAGUCCCAGCCCCUCCAGGAGACUCCCCAGGCAGCCCUAACAGCUCUCACACUGCUUCAGGACAUCAAAAGAUUUAGGUUUAUUUGCUUCUACAGAUGUGGACACUGUAAUAUAAAUGUUGUGUCCAUCUUCUCUGGAUAUCGACUCCCCAGCCCUGGAAGUGUUCAGUGGCGCUUGCACAAACCUGGCAUAGAGAAAGAUGGCCCUGCCUGUGGAACAAGAUGGUCUUUGGGUCCCUUCCAACCCAAACCCUUUUAUGAUUCCACAAAAAUCCUGGCAUUUAAGUAACUGCAAUUUUCAGGACACACCGAAAUCACUUGGGGUUUUUUUUAGGACAGAAGUAAAAAUACAUUUACACAAUAGCUAUUGUUUGAGAGCCAAGAUUUGCCUCCUGAUCUCUGCCCCUGCCCUUCCCUUCCGGCUCCUCCUGAGCAGGAAAAUCAGGGUGGACCUUGGUGGCCGUGUGUCCUGGAGGGGAUGCAUGGGGUCGCUGGGUCGGAGGGGUCCUUCCCAGGCAGGCCAUGCCUCUGCUGGCAGUGCCACAGCAGGUGGCUCCUUGGGCUCCGUGGCCACCCCCGGGCACUGCUCAGCCACUGCCUUGGAUGUGGUUCCACCACCCAGAGCGUGGGUAAAGGUCACUGAGAAUCCAGGAUGACAGAAGCAACGCCAAUGCCUCGGGGUUAGGAGCAAAAUCCCCCAGUUUUCACUGGCAGCUCUUCGUGGAAAAGAUGUGUGUGUGAGAGGGUUUUGUUUGUAGGGAGCUUGUAAAGGAUAACUUUGCGUCACCACAGCGCUCCCGGCAAAGGCUCCGGGGCUGCCUGUGCUGGAAGCAGCUUUCCUUGGGGGAAACAGCAGCCACGUGUCCAGGGCAGAGCAGGGACCAGAGAGCCCAGGCUGGCUGAGCUGCGGGGCCUCCAGCCCCAGGGAAAACAUUCGUGACCAGGGUGUUGUUCUUGCUUUGAAGGACACGAGUGUGAGGAUCCUUUGCUCCGGUGCAGGUGGUGUUUAGGCAGCAGCAGAGUCUGUUUUUCCAGCUGUCCAUGACUGUGCCUCAGCUCAGAGAGUCACAGAAUCCCAGAAUGGUUCAGCUUGGAGGGGACCUUAAACACCACCUGGUCCCCAGCUUGCACUGUCCCAGGGUGCUCCAAGCUCGACCAGCCUGGUCUGGGACACUUCCAGGGACAGCUGCUGGUUCCAUGAAGUGCCUCUGUGUCCCAGCCAGCAGGGAGCAGGACAAUGCCAGCACCAGGGAAAUCAUGGAAGCACGUGUCCACUAACACCUUUGGGCUGUUGCUGAUGUUGUUUUGCAGCCACAGUGCCCACCGGGCCUGGUCACUGCAGAAGUCCAGGGAGGGGCAUCUUGUUUUGAUCAUUACAUUUUGGGGUAGAGAACUCAGCUUGACACGAAAUCCAAAAAUGCCAGAAAUGCCUUUUGUCCACCAGUGGUUUUCAGCAGCUUGUUAAACACUCACAGAUUGUUUGGGCAGCCUGAACCCUGACAGGCCUGAUGGAGACAUCUUUCCUCUAUUUGGGCUGAUGUGUGAGGUUACACAGCUCUCACUCCCUCAGCCAUCGCUGCAUCCCAGAACUUGGCUUGGGAAAAACAGCCCUGCAGAGUGCUCAGCUGGACUUUGCCAGAGCUGUCUGGAACAUCCCCAUUAAUCACGGAGCACACGAGGUUCUCUGAGCUCCUGGAGAGGUGGGCACAGAGGAGAGUGCCUGGCUCCCAUGCUGACAGAGGUCCAGCUGCAGGCGUUUGGGCAGUAACGUGCAGGUGGCAGAGGGAUAAAUAACGUGGGCAUGGAGAGGAUGAGCAGCAUUUGCUGAUGGAAGGAGGACACUGAGGCUCAGGACUGCUGGGUGGGGAGAUUUUUGGUUCCACAGGGAGCAGGAAAUGUCCACCUAGAAGAACAACAUGCUUGUCUCUGACCCCUGAAGCUCCUGGAUGUGCUGGCAGCUGGGUGGUGACCUGGAGAAAGCCAUGGUGUGGCCUGCGUGGUCUUGGACUCCUUGAGAAGAGUUCCAGGAGCAGGAUGUCUGCUCAUAUCCACGUGUUUGGGGUUCAGGAGGUCCCAGCUGGUCCCACCUCCCUGCAGGGGAAGCAGCCACUGACUCAGAGGUCACGCAGAAACUGCAGAAGUCAAGUCAGAGCAGCAGAUGAAGAGGCAAGGACCUGAUGGCCCUGAUCUUUCUGCUGUGAAUCAUU